UACGUAGGGUGCAAGCGUUGUCCGGAAUUAUUGGGCGUAAAGAGCUCGUAGGCGGUCUGUCGCGUCGGCUGUGAAAUCCCGAGGCUCAACCCUGGAAUGCCGGUGGAUACUGUCGGGCUCGAAUCCGGAAGAGGUGAGUGGAAUUCCUGGUGUAGCGGUGAAAUGCGCAGAUAUCAGGAGGAACACCAAUGGCGAAGGCAGCUCACUGGGACGGUAUUGACGCUGAGACGCGAAAGCGUGGGGAGCAAACAGG
rnacentral:rRNA from 1 species